GGGGGGAGCAAGCGUUGUUCGGAUUUACUGGGCGUAAAGGGCGCGUAGGCGGUCAGCACAAGUCAGUUGUGAAAUCUCCGGGCUUAACUCGGAAAGGUCAACUGAUACUGUGCGACUAGAGUGCAGAAGGGGCAACUGGAAUUCUCGGUGUAGCGGUGAAAUGCGUAGAUAUCGAGAGGAACACCUGCGGCGAAGGCGGGUUGCUGGGCUGACACUGACGCUGAGGCGCGAAAGCCAGGGGAGCGAACGGGAUUAGAUACCCCGGUAGUCCUGGCCUUAAACGAUGGAUGCUUGGUGUUUGGAGUUAUAUAGUCUCCGGGUGCCGUAGCUAACGCGUUAAGCAUCCCGCCUGGGGAGUACGGUCGCAAGACUG
rnacentral:rRNA from 1 species